ACUCGGAGCCAGCACGAGGAGGAGAGGAAUAGGAGAGGGCGAGAUGUCAUGAAGCGCUGAGGGAGGAGCAGUGAGCCAGAACCCAGCGAGAGGUCAUCCACCCUUACAUAACUGGCCUGGAAACACACCUGGAGAGGAGGUUUCAUGAUCUGGACAUUCUUGGGGCCUUCAGUAUCUUGGGACCCGCACCGCAAUCAACCACUCUACAAGAUGAUACAAUCAACAUCUCUCAUCUGCGGACUCUUGCCAGGAAAUGUUGCCCUGAACAUGAGAAUGAGGUCCUGCAGGAGUGGUCCUCGUUCAAAAAUCAUGUCCUUCCUGGGGCAUUCACGAACAAUAACCAGGAGAUCAUGAGUCUGCUGGCAAGCGAGUUUGAUGAGUGGACCAACCUCUACCCCUGUCUGAGCCUCCUUGCAGGCAUUGCACUUGUUUUACCCGUUUCCUGUGUCAAUUACAACGUGAUUUCUCAACGGUGAACAGGGUAAGAGCAUGACCUUGAACAGGACAACAAAUAAUCAUGCAUUUUCUUCAUAUUAGUGCAGUUUGUGGUAUUUUCUUUGCUUUAUCCUCAGGUGAAAACAGACCUGAAACCAGCUUCAAGGUGAACACCUGGCUGCCUGCCUGAGGAUCUCCAUAAACGGACCCCAUCCUGAGGCCUUCUCAUGUAAUAGGGCAUUGGAAUAUUUUUUCAGAAAGCCCCAUAAAAUAAAAUGUUCAAACACAUCUUGCAAACUUUGCAACAAGUAGGCUGUGGAGCAGUCAAAUGAGCGCUCUGUAUAUAAUUUGAAAGUAAGGCACAACUGGCUUUCUGUCAGGCUGUCACAGUCUGUAGUAAGAUGCCAAAGGGGAAACAUGU